rnacentral:rRNA from 1 species
UGAGACAGGUGCUGCAUGGCUGUCGUCAGCUCGUGUUGUGAAAUGUUGGGUUAAGUCCCGCAACGAGCGCAACCCUUAUCCUUUGUUGCCAGCGAUUCGGUCGGGAACUCAAAGGAGACUGCCGGUGAUAAACCGGAGGAAGGUGGGGAUGACGUCAAGUCAUCAUGGCCCUUACGAGUAGGGCUACACACGUGCUACAAUGGCGCAUACAAAGAGAAGCGACCUCGCGAGAGCAAGCGGACCUCACAAAGUGCGUCGUAGUCCGGAUCGGAGUCUGCAACUCGACUCCGUGAAGUCGGAAUCGCUAGUAAUCGUGGAUCAGAAUGCCACGGUGAAUACGUUCCCGGGCCUUGUACACACCGCCCGUCACACCAUGGGAGUGGGUUGCAAAAGAAGUAGGUAGCUUAACCUUCGGGAGGGCGCUUACCACUUUGUGAUUCAUGACUGGGGUGAAGUCGUAACAAGGUAACCGUAGGGGAACCUGCGGUUGGAUCACCUCCUUA